rnacentral:lncRNA from 1 species
CCUCAGCCGUGAGGCGGCACAUGAGAGACAGAGGCAGCGUGAGCUGACGCCGGAGUGCCGGUCGUCGGGAAAAACAUCUGGAAUUUAGAAAAAAAAAAACGCAAAACAUGCAUGCCAGACAUUCGGAGUGGUUAACACCAUUGUGGUGCCCAGCCCGCAAGGUGCGGAUGCCCUGCAGCCCUCGGGAAACAGCCGGGCCGGUGUCGGGAACACGGCGGUCAGUGCUGCAGGCAAAAAUGCAGCCCAGACAUCCAGGCUGCCAGAGGAACAUCCCUCCCUGCUGUUCUGAAAUGUUGCCCAGGCUGCUUUACAGCUUUGGUGCUUGCACAUGUGCUAAGAAGAGUGAAGGAUUUAAUGGACAAAUUAAGGAGGUGUAAAAUCACAGCAUUGGAAAUCUGUAGGAGGAGGGUAAACAGAAAAUAAGGUGUUUGCAGCUCUGUGUUAAGGAAGAAUUGGAAGUGCACUGUGCCAGCAGCAGCCCUGGGAAGCAGACUGUUACAUCCUGGUAUGAUUUUACUGGUGAUUGCAGAUGCAAAGAGCGGGGAGUGGCUUGGAAGGUGAAAAGACUGCUAUGACCUCAUGUGGUUUUUUAACUUCUGUG